rnacentral:rRNA from 1 species
AUACGGAGGGUGCGAGCGUUAAUCGGAAUUACUGGGCGUAAAGCGCGCGUAGGCGGCUAGAUCAGUCGGAUGUGAAAGCCCUGGGCUUAACCUGGGAACUGCAUUCGAUACUGUCUAGCUAGAGUAUGGUAGAGGGAAGCGGAAUUCCGGGUGUAGCGGUGAAAUGCGUAGAUAUCCGGAGGAACACCAGUGGCGAAGGCGGCUUCCUGGACCAAUACUGACGCUGAGGUGCGAAAGCGUGGGGAGCAAACAGGAUUAGAUACCCCGGUAGUCC